AUUGGACUGAAAGAACACCUUUAUUCCAUUUUUUGCAUACAUCUUAACAUAAACGUACAUUUUAAGAAAUGGCAGAUGUAUUUCCAAAAAUAGGAAUAGAAUAUAUAUAUAUAUAUAUAUCAAUACUUGUGUAUAGUGCCCCUCAUACCUGCCUCAAUACAGCCAUUAUUGGAAGAGUAAUGCUUGUGUUUAAGAUGAAAACACAGCUACAUGGAGCCUGUCAAGAUCAAAACUGUCAGCAACAACUAGAAUCUCAAGUCAGAUGUAUUAGGCUGACAAUUUUCAUCUCAAGCUGCCUCAACAUUAAAUGGCACCACGCAAAAAAAAACAAACAAAAAAAACCUAUAAAACAACUACCCAUCACCAAAUAAGGAGCGCCUUUAUUGUUCCUGUAAUAGUAAUAUAGUGAGCUGAUUAAUUGAACUCAAAUAUUGAUCAUUUAGCUUGGAUAAUAGUUAUGAAAGGAUUUUUUCUACAAGUGUUACAUACAAGUACAAAAACUGUACAAAAAAAAAAGAAAGAAAAAAAAAAGCUUGAGCAAAAAAUGUAAAUAUGAAGAUAAAUAUUGCUUCAUCAAGUUUGACCUGUCAAUAAAAAGGAGUAAUGCUUACAUGAUUGUGGUUGACUUUAAAAAAAAUGUCUUUGUAUUUUCCCCCCAGCACAAAAUACUUUCUUAGAAGGAGAGAACAUGUUUUGGGGACACUUCUUUUUAAGAGAUAGAAGCAGCAGUAUGACAAAUGCAUUAGUUCUUGAUUAAAAAAUAUCACACAAGCCAUUCAGUUAAAAUGCAUACAUGUAAAAAAAAAAAAAGUCCUUAAAAAUAUAUAAAAAAAAGUGUAUAUAACAAUGUUGUAACUGAGAUCCAAACAAGUCUUUUGAAAGGGUGUUUUUAAAAAAAAAAAAGGGGGGGGGGGGG